GACCUGGAGGAGGAGCUGCUGGGGAGUCUCCACGUGUUGUCAGAGACCCCUCCUCUUGGUCAGCUCCCUGUGACCCCUGUUUCUCAGACUGGGAGGGAAAUAAGGGCACACAAUUGUGACCAUGGAGGUGGCGCAAGGCUGCUAGGAGGAACGGAGUGUCUGCUACAGAACUCAGGGUUUCUUUCAUUUACUUUUUUUUUUUUUGAGACAGGGUCUUGCUCUAUCACCUAGUCUGGAGUGCAGUGGUGGGAUCUCUCCUACCUGCAAACUUUGCCUCCCUGGAUCAAGUGAUUCUCCUACCUCAGCCUCCCAAGUAGCUGGGAUUACAGAGUUUUGCUCUUGUCACCCAGGCUGAAGUGCAAUGGCACUCGGCUCAGUGCAACCUCUGCCUCCCAGAUUCAAGCAAUUCUCCUGCCUCAGUCUCCACAGUAGCUGGAACUACAGGUAUGUGCCACACCCAGCUAAUUUUUGUAUUUUUUAGUAGAGACAGGGUAUUACCAUGUGGCCAGGAUGUUCUCAAUCUCCUGAUCUUGUGGUCCAUCCACGUUGACCUCCCAAAGUGCUGGCAUUACAGGCGUGAGCAACCACACCCGGCCAAAUUUUCUCUGUUUGUCUUUAGAGAUGAGCUCUUGCUCUGUCACCUAGGCUGGAGUGCAGUGGCUCAGUAAUAGUUCACUGCAGCCUUAAACUCCUGGACUCAAAUGAUCUUCCCACCUCAGCUUUCUGAGUAGGGAACAUGACAUCCUCUUCCUAGGUUACACCCACCUGCAGAGGGCCCAGCCCCAUCACUGGAGCCACUGGAUUCUGAGGUGAGCUGGGUGAGUUGCUGGGGCUGUACUGGAUGGGAGGACCCUGGCUGUCCUGACCCUCCUGCCCCUGGCUUUCCACAAUGGUGCCAUGGUGCU